rnacentral:lncRNA from 1 species
UCCGGGCGGAGUCUUCCUGCAAUUAAAGUCAAAGGCGAAGUCCAGCUCCCGUAGGAGUCCGGACAAGGCUUACCGGCAGUUGAUGUUGAGGACGGAGCCCGGCUUCCGUAGGAGUUCGGGCGGAGUCUACUUGCGGUUGAAGUUGUCGGCGGAGUCCGGCUCCCGUAGGAGUCCGGACGAAGUCUGUCUGCAGCCGUUGGAGUCGAGGAUGAAGCUCGGCUCCCAUAGGAGUCCGGGCGGAGUCUUCCUGCAAUUAAAGUCAAAGGCGAAGUC